rnacentral:rRNA from 1 species
GCGCACGCUGGCGGCAGGCCUAACACAUGCAAGUCGCACGAACUCUUCGGAGUUAGUGGCGGACGGGUGAGUAACACGUGGGAACGUGCCUUUUGGUUCGGAAUAACUCAGGGAAACUUGUGCUAAUACCGAAUGUGCCCUUCGGGGGAAAGAUUUAUCGCCAUUAGAGCGGCCCGCGUCUGAUUAGCUAGUUGGUGAGGUAACGGCUCACCAAGGCGACGAUCAGUAGCUGGUCUGAGAGGAUGACCAGCCACACUGGGACUGAGACACGGCCCAGACUCCUACGGGAGGCAGCAGUGGGGAAGCUUGCGCAAUGGGCGAAAGCCUGACGCAGCCAUGCCGCGUGAAUGAUGAAGGUCUUAGGAUUGUAAAAUUCUUUCACCGGGGACGAUAAUGACGGUACCCGGAGAAGAAGCCCCGGCUAACUUCGU